CCUACGGGUGACAGCAGUGAGGAAUAUUGGUCAAUGGGCGAGAGCCUGAACCAGCCAAGUCGCGUGAAGGAUGAAGGAUCUAUGGUUUGUAAACUUCUUUUAUAUGGGAAUAAAGUGAGGAACGUGUUCCUUUUUGUAUGUACCAUAUGAAUAAGCAUCGGCUAACUCCGUGACAGCAGCCGCGGUAAUACGGAGGAUGCGAGCGUUAUCCGGAUUUAUUGGGUUUAAAGGGUGCGUAGGUGGUUAAUUAAGUCAGCGGUGAAAGUUUGUGGCUCAACCAUAAAAUUGCCGUUGAAACUGGUUGACUAGAGUAUAUGUGAGGGAGGCGGAAUGCGUGGUGUAGCAGUGAAAUGCAUAGAUAUCACGCAGAACACCGAUUGCGAAGGCAGCUUACUAAACUAUAACUGACACUGAAGCACGAAAGCGUGGGGAUCAAACAGGAUUAGAUACCCGAGUAGUC
rnacentral:rRNA from 1 species